GUUUUACUAACAUUAAUUCUUUUUUGAAAACUGUCUCUGUCUAUUGAAAUUUGCAAACAGAAUUGUCCAAACACAUUCCACAAGGUAAAAAGAAGCACUCUUUCUCUUUCUUUUACAUAGUUUUGCACAAGAUGCAGGAGAACAACCAUA